rnacentral:rRNA from 1 species
UGGCUCAGAACGAACGCUGGCGGCAGGCUUAACACAUGCAAGUCGAGCGCCCCGCAAGGGGAGCGGCAGACGGGUGAGUAACGCGUGGGAACGUACCAUUUGCUACGGAAUAACUCAGGGAAACUUGUGCUAAUACCGUAUGUGCCCUUCGGGGGAAAGAUUUAUCGGCAAAUGAUCGGCCCGCGUUGGAUUAGCUAGUUGGUGGGGUAAAGGCUCACCAAGGCGACGAUCCAUAGCUGGUCUGAGAGGAUGACCAGCCACACUGGGACUGAGACACGGCCCAGACUCAUACGGGAGGCAGCAGUGGGGAAUAUUGGACAAUGGGCGCAAGCCUGAUCCAGCCAUGCCGCGGGAGUAAUGAAGGCCCUAGGGUUGUAAAGCUCUUUCACCGGUGAAGAUAAUGACGGUAACCGGAGAAGAAGCCCCGGCUAACUUCGUGCCAGCAGCCGCGGUAAUACGAAGGGGGCUAGCGUUGUUCGGAUUUACUGGGCGUAAAGCGCACGUAGGCGGACUUUUAAGUCAGGGGUGAAAUCCCGGGGCUCAACCCCGGAACUGCCUUUGAUACUGGAAGUCUUGAGUAUGGUAGAGGUGAGUGGAAUUCCGAGUGUAGAGGUGAAAUUCGUAGAUAUUCGGAGGAACACCAGUGGCGAAGGCGGCUCACUGGACCAUUACUGACGCUGAGGUGCGAAAGCGUGGGGAGCAAACGGGAUUAGAUACCCUGGUAGUCCACGCCGUAAACGAUGAAUGUUAGCCGUCGGGGGUGUUUACACUUUCGGGUGGCGCAGCUUAACGCAUAAAACAUUCCGCCUGGG